ensembl:lncRNA immediate early response 3
UUUCCUCCCAAAAAAUCCCAUUUUUUCCUUCCCUAAUUCCCGUGGUUCCCCCCCAAAAAAUCCCAUUUUUCCCCCCAAAAUUCCCUUUUUUUCCCUCAAAAAAUCCCAUUUUUCCCCCCAAAAAAAUCCCAUUUUUUCCCCCAAAACCCCAAUUUUUUUUCCCCAAAAAAUUCCCAAUUUUUCCCUCCGCAUUUCCGGUGUUUCCCCCAUAAAAUUCCCGGCUUUUUCCCCAUAAAAUUCCCAAUUUUUUCCCCGCCAAUGACGCAAAAUCCGUGACUCAAAAUUCGGGAAUUUCCCCAAUUCCGCCCCGAGUGGGCGUGGUCUCCCACAAGCCCCUCCCCUUCCGCUCUCCACCAAUCAAAUCGCGCCGUGGGCGUGGCCUCCACCCUCUUGUUUAUAACCCCGAGGCCGCGGGUUCGAAUCCCGGCAUUUCCAUUUCCGCCAUGUCGAUGGUAGCGGCGGUCGCGGCCACUUCGAGGUGUCCGGGGCGGAUUUGGGGACAUCUCGAGGGUGUCCCCAAAGGGGUGGCACCGUCUCCACCUCGUCACUUCACCUUCGAACCUCUCCCGCCGCCCCCCGGCCCUUCCAGGCCUCGGCGGCGCCAUCGGCGCGUUCUUUAUCCGCCCGCUGUGCGUCGCCCCCUCCCCUCGGAAGAACCCAGCACCGCCAAGCGCCUCCUGCUGCUCCUCUUGGCCGUGGUGGGCACCCAGAUCUACAACGCGCCCGGCGACGUCCCCGAUGUCACCUCGGGGGGGACAAGGCCACCCCCAAUUCCUGAGGGACCCCAAAUUCCCGCCGGGAACGCCAACGGGACGACGGCGGUGGCACCCACGGGUGGCUCCUGCCCCUCGUGGUCGGUGUCACCUCCUUUGUCACCUCCUUUGUCGCCCCCUGGUGGCGCCAGGACGCGCUGAGGGACCCCACCCCAACCUUGGGGGUGGCACCCGGGACUGCCACGCCCUCCUGGAUUAAUUAACGAGGUCGUUAAUUAAUUAAGAAGAGCUCCACGGGUUGGAAGAAACCAAUGGAUGUUGGACGAUCCCAGUUUGGAACUGGGAGGACUGGAAAGGGGCGGAGUCAUGGAUUGAGGGGGGGGGUUUCCCGUUCCCUCAUUAAUUAGCUGGUUAAUUAACCCCUAAUUAAUGACCAGCUCAUUAAUUAGCUCCCAAUGAAGGUGGGAACAAGCCCCAGGUUGGAAUUUUGAGGUUGCUCAAUCCCAGUUUGGAACUGGGAGCACUGGAAAGGGGCGUGGUCAGGACGGCCUCAUUAACGAGGUUUUAAUUAACGAGGUCGCCUCUACCUCAGCAUCAGCGCCUGUGGCUGCUGAAUUUAUUAAUUAUUAAUUAUUUAUUUAUUUAUUAUUUAUUUGUCAUUAUUUAUUUGUCAUUAUUUAUUUGCCACUAUUUAUUAAUUAUUUAUUGAUUAAUUAUUUAUUGAUUAUUUAUUGUGAUUCCAUUUUGGGAUGUAUUUAAUAUUCUAAUUAAUUAAACUAAUUGAAUUAAUUAACGUUGGGUUGUGUCUUGAUUGGAAUUUCUUGUGGUCAGAACAGGGGGGUGGAAAAUGAUGAAAAAAACCCAAUUUUUGACCAUUUUACCCCGAAAUUUUUACAUAAAAAUAACGAGAAAAAUUCCAAAUUUUUGGCAUUUUCAGCCCAAGUCGGAUUUUUAUUGACCCGACACGGAAAAUACAAAGUCACAAAAGUAACAAAAAAAAAAACCAAAAAAAUUCAAAUUUUCGUUAAAAAAGAAGCAAAAAAAGUUUAAAAAAAGCUCAAGUUCGCUCCCAUUUUUUGGGAAAAAUACCCAAAAAAUAAAAAAAAAAAUCCAAUUUUUCCUUCCA